UACGUAGGCAGCGAGCGUUGUUCGGAGUUACUGGGCGUAAAGCGUGCGUAGGCGGUGCUCCAAGUCUGUUGUGAAAUCUCCCGGCUUAACUGGGAGGGUGCGGCGGAAACUGGGGUGCUGGAGUGCGGGAGAGGUAAGCGGAAUUCCCGGUGUAGCGGUGAAAUGCGCAGAUAUCGGGAGGAACACCAAUGGCGAAGGCAGCUCGCUGGGACGGUACUGAC
rnacentral:rRNA from 1 species